rnacentral:tRNA from 1 species
GCCUGGGUAGCUUAGCCAAUUAAGUGUCCGACUUCAGCUCAGGUCAUGGCUCACGGUUUGUGGGUUCAAGCCCCACAUCGGGCU